AAACUUUGCAAUGUGCGAAAGCACGACAAGGUUAAUCCGAGUGAUUUCUGCUAAAGAAAUCUUUUGCAAGUCAUAAAACCACUAGUGAAUAAGGGGUGGGCAAGUUCUGGUGUCAGCCGCCGCGGUAAAACCAGCACCUCAAGUGGUCAGGAGGAUUAUUGGGCCUAAAGCAUCCGUAGCCGGCUCUGUAAGUUUUCGGUUAAAUCCAUGUGCUCAACGCAUGGGCUGCCGAAAAUACUGCAUAGCUAGGGAGUGGGAGAGGUAGACGGUACUCGGUAGGAAGGGGUAAAAUCCUUUGAUCUAUCGAUGACCACCUGUGGCGAAGGCGGUCUACCAGAACACGUUCGACGGUGAGGGAUGAAAGCUGGGGGAGCAAACCGGAUUAGAUACCCGGGUAGUCCCAGCUGUAAACGAUGCAGACUCGAUGAUGCAUUGGCAUAUAGCCAGUGCAGUGUCGCAGGGAAGCCGUUAAGUCUGCCGCCUGGGGAGUACGUACGCAAGUAUGAAACCUAA
rnacentral:rRNA from 1 species